AGUGAACGCUGGCGGUAGGCCUAACACAUGCAAGUCGAACGGCAGCACAGUAAGAGCUUGCUCUUACGGGUGGCGAGUGGCGGACGGGUGAGGAAUAAAUCGGAAUCUACUUUUUCGUGGGGGAUAACGUAGGGAAACUUACGCUAAUACCGCAUACGACCUACGGGUGAAAGCAGGGGAGCUUCGGACCUUGCGCGAUUGAAUGAGCCGAUGUCGGAUUAGCUAGGUGGCGGGGUAAAGGCCCACCAAGGCGACGAUCCGUAGCUGGUCUGAGAGGAUGAUCAGCCACACUGGAACUGAGACACGGUCCAGACUCCUACGGGAGGCAGCAGUGGGGAAUAUUGGACAAUGGGCGCAAGCCUGAUCCAGCAAUACCGCGUGGGUGAAGAAGGCCUUCGGGUUGUAAAGCCCUUUUGUUGGGAAAGAAAAGCAGCAGGUUAAUACCCCGCUGUUCUGACGGUACCCAAAGAAUAAGCACCGGCUAACUUCGUG
rnacentral:rRNA from 1 species